CUCAAAGCAGGAGCUAGCAGAUGGCUGCAUCGUUAGCUGGUGGCCACAGCCUUAUGAGAUGAGUUUUGGAAUUUCCAUCAAAGUCGGGAUUAGGCUCAGGAUAUGCCGAUGGCACAGAGCACCGCGGGGGAGUGUGGAAGAAGAGGAAAUCAUUCAUAGCGACUCAUCUUGUGGUUGGUGAGGAAGUUUUCAGCUGGUGAUUUAUCAACAAAGUAUUUUACAGGAUCAUAGUUAAAAGCUCUUAAAAAAAAAUAUAUAUCCUGUGCGAUAGGGAAAGUAAAAGCAUCUCGGUUUCCAAAUGCUGAAGGAAUAACCGAAAGAGCUAGUUCUUGGAAUAGUAGCUCCAUUGGCACUCGUUGGUGAUUUCCUGUGCAUUUGCUGCAAGAAUCACUCUGUGAUGUGAGUAGGUGGUACUAAAGGGUUAUUACGAAACCAAUUUUCAACCAGACGUUUUGAGUCAUGGAUCGGGAAGAGGGAUAGCAGCUUCAGAGCUUUCUCUUUGUUCGAGCAGUGCGCCUGAAAUGCACACGCAGGAUAUUUUGUGCUUGCAUGGAACAAGGCAGACUGGGGAUAGGUCUGGUAUUACGUGAAGUGCCCUUCUUCAUGCCACUCCAUCUCAAGGAUGGGAAACGAGAACGUGGGCUGAGAGCCGGCAGCAGUGUGCAAGGUGCACAAGGAGCAGUUUCCUGACUGUCUUUCAAUUAUUCAGAAGACGUCUGUGAGCAUACGGGUAUGACUAGCAAAGGAGAGACGGUUCUAGUACCUGCUGCCUGUGGGAUUUAUUUUGUGCCAGGAAGGAGCUGAGGUGCUGACUACUGAAUAACACCUAAACUUUAUUUCUGAUGCUUCUCCUGAUAAUGCAUUGGUAAGUUUAUGUACUUCUCAUUUUCAGUGCUAAGAUGGUAUCUUGCUAAAUGUAAUUGAAAGAAAGCUCUUUAACAGCUUUAUCAACAUGGCAAGGUGUAUUCAUUUUUUCACUGGAGCAGCUUUUACAGAAAACACUAGCUGGCCUGCUGCAGUUCAGGAGUCUGUAAAUAACGGGGGAAACUUUGUCGAUCAGGUCGACAAAAACAAUUUAAAAUUGCUGUUCCCUCCCACCUUUAACCUACAAACCUCUGCUAACAUUGGUACUAAGCAAAGAGGAUGGGCCAGCCCUCCAGCUUUGGGAUCCUGUCAUCCUGGAGUCAUGGCUACGCUGUAAUUUCCCUGUCACACUUUACUGAAUGAACAAGACUUGGGUCUUCUAGAAUUUCACAUGAAAAUCAGAUGUCCAUCCCUGGAAUUAAAUCUAAUGAUACUUUUCUUAAAAUAUGCCUAGAAUAGAAAUGAUGUUAUUUUUAAGUGGCUCUGUAAAUCGCAAGAAAAAAGAUACCAAUUAAUGGUUUCUCAAAAAACCUAAAUCAUUAACAUACUAUUGGCUAGAAGAAAUCAUGUUGGCUGACGGAGCUAGGUCUGGAAGUUGUGCUCCCUGAAUCUGCUGUCAAUUCUGCCACUGGUUUUGGGAGGGAUUUUUUGGAGGGGGCGCUUCUUGGGCAAGUCAUUAUUUAUUCUUAGUUGUCAAUAAAAUGAGGAUAGUGUUAUUUAACUUUUCCUUCAGUGCUUUACUUGGAUGCUGAUAUGUGGUACUGUAGCUCUUGGAUCUCUAGAAUAUUGUUUUGAAUGCAUAGGUUAUUGGAAGUUGGGGAAAGCAGAAUAGUGAUUAUUGAAUUUAUCAUGCUCUGUGACAGGUCCCCUCUAGACACCAGCUGUAGGAAUUGCUGGUGCUGUGUCCUAACCGUCCACCACGAAGGGAGGAAUUCACUGCCGCUGUUCUUCCCUGGGUGGGUGACACCGGGACGCCUUGCAUUCCCAAACCGGCUUGAGUUGGGAGUUGUAGUAAGGUGCUCGUGGAUAUUUUUUCCCUCUUUUCCGAAACAGCAACUGAGAAGGCCGUCCGUGCACCACACGUCCCUAUGGAACUGCAAAUAAACCCAGUGGUUAAGGAAAAAAAAAAAGGAAGGUUUAGCAUUGUACUGGAUUUCCUUUCCUUAAGUGCUUCCUUCGGAUCUUGGGAGAAGAGCUCAAGCACGGGGUGACUUUCUAGCGAGCAGUUGUACCAAAAGGCGUGGGAGGCCGGGUCAGGGAAGAGUCAUUUGGUUGUUAUGUGGGUGUGAAAAGCCUAUGAAAAGGAAAGGGCGGAGGAAAAUAUUUUACUUGAAUUAAACAAAUAAAGGAGAAUGUUAUAUGAAUUAGGUAUUCGAAGUUAGAUUUUUGACAGGUAUUUUUGUGAAUUAACUGCAUAUCUUCUGAAAAUCAUUUAUUUAACCAUAAGCUUAUCAAAAUGUUCUCAGGAGGGACUUUUUUUUUUAAAAAAAAAGGCAACAAAAAACAAAAAAAAUCAUUGUUUUCUUAUCAUUUCAGAUAAAAAGAAAGGAAGUUGCGAAUUUUUAUAGCCCCUAAAUUGUUAACUGUUAAACCUGUGGUGGAUCAAAUUUCCUCAGGCUUACACUGGAGCAGUUUCCUUUACUGCGAAAUUACAAGUAGGCCCUGUUUGAGGAGAAGGAGUCUUAGAUCUUCAGUUCAUUGUUGUGUAUCCACCUGUGGGGCAGAGGAAUUGCUGCUCUUGAAAAUCACCUGUUUUGGGGAGCAGGCUGUUACCAUUGAUGCAGUGCACAGGGAUGGUUCACACCCAACGUAAUUGAAAAAAUGGUAUUUUGGAACCCGAUUUUUUUUUUUUUUACAUGUAUGUUUGUAGUAUCUCCAUCUCCUUGCAGUUUUUAAAAUGUCACCUAAUAUGAUUGAGAGAAUCUAAAAUACAUGGUGUAGAGAUUACCUUUCUUCAUGCCUUUCAUGAUUAUCUUGACAAAAAAAAAAAAAAAAGGCAGCACAUGGAGGCAGGUUUUAACAGCACUUUCUCUCUGAAGCAGAAUUCUGCUUAUUACAUUAGGUAGUGAAAGACUUGAUUUUGUAAAAAAAAAAACCC